GACGAACGCUGGCGGCGUGCCUAAUACAUGCAAGUAGAACGCUGAAGGAGGAGCUUGCUUCUCUGGAUGAGUUGCGAACGGGUGAGUAACGCGUAGGUAACCUGCCUGGUAGCGGGGGAUAACUAUUGGAAACGAUAGCUAAUACCGCAUAAUAGCAGUUGUUGCAUGACAACUGUUUGAAAGGUGCAAUUGCACCACUACCAGAUGGACCUGCGUUGUAUUAGCUAGUUGGUGGGGUAACGGCUCACCAAGGCGACGAUACAUAGCCGACCUGAGAGGGUGAUCGGCCACACUGGGACUGAGACACGGCCCAGACUCCUACGGGAGGUAGCAGUAGGGAAUCUUCGGCAAUGGACGGAAGUCUGACCGAGCAACGCCGCGUGAGUGAAGAAGGUUUUCGGAUCGUAAAGCUCUGUUGUAAGAGAAGAACGAGUGUGAGAGUGGAAAGUUCACACUGUGACGGUAUCUUACCAGAAAGGGACGGCUAACUACGUG
rnacentral:rRNA from 1 species